rnacentral:snoRNA from 1 species
GAGAGAGACUAUGUCUGUACUCAGUGUUCUGACCUGUGAACACUGGAAUGAUUAGUAACCUAACAAU